CAAGCGACCAUUUUGUUGAGUUUUGUCUUUUUUCUUCUUUUUCAGGUCGUUGGAGAGCAUAACUAGCCAGGUUUUUCUCUUAACCUGCUCCUGGAAACCCUUUCUAACCGCAUAUUUUGUUCUUAAUUCUUUUCUGCUGACUUCAGUUAACUGCGAAUUUCCCAUCGGCACUGCUCUAUAUUUGCAUCGUUUUGAAAUGCAGGGUAAAAUAUGCUUAUUUCUUCAGUUGGUGUCUGUAUACUUCCUGUUAACCCUGUCAGUUGGCAAAGCUUCUGGUGUCAUAUAGCAGAUUUGAACAAAAUGUCACUGUUUAAAUUUAAGCAGAAUGUCUUUGCUCCAUCUGAGCUUCCUAGAUGUGAGCGGGUUCCAUUUAGUUCACUGGUUCUUGAGCGGACAAAGGUUGGAGAGUUGUUUAAACAGUGUGCAAGUGAGUUGAAAGAAGCCAAACUGCUGAACAUAAUUCAACUGUGUCCAAAAAAAAAAAAAAAAACACAGAUGAUUGAUAAUGGAGAAGUAACCGGGGGCUUGGGAGGGCAAAGAUGGAUCUUGUUAGCAGCCUGUUGGAACCAGAACCAACAAAAAGAGCAAUUGUUGCCAAGUUUUUCUCACAUAGAGGUAACAAGUGUGUGAUUUGCAGAAUUAGAUUGUGAUGUUGCAGUGCCGAAAUAAGUUGUUUGUUGAUAAGCUGGGUCUUUUUCAGAAUGGAGGUGAGAGGGGUGCUGUUGGCGUUGUGCAAUAUGAGAAGAGAACAAAUGAAUCUUAAGGAAGUGCGUUUAGCAAUUGCAGAAGCAGGUAUGCCGUGGGAUCCUGAUAAAUGAGAUGGGGAUGGUUGGGAUUUGGUGUGUUCUGUAGAGUCUGGUUCCUCAGAUUGAGUUUUGAGUGUAAAACCAUUGUGGAGAAAGAGUUGAAUUUGAUGCUGCUGGGCAGCCAGUGAGGAAGGAUGUGGUAGAGCCUUGUACUUGGUAUGAACUAAAUUAGAUAAUGGAGCAGUUUAAAGGCUAGGGGAACCUCGGAUUUUUGUGGGUGGUGUGUUUGUAUGACCAGGGAGUACUCUGUAUCACUUUAAAUGUAGGAGAUGCUAAAAGGGUUUUUAUCUUGCACAAAGGUGUCCAGGCUAACAUUUGAAGUAAUGACAGGGACAAUAGUUAGUUAACCAUGGCCACUCAAGGACAUAAUGCGAAGUACUCUACAGAAAAUGACUAGUAAUGAAUCAAGGAGGAAGGGAUGAAAUGGGCCUUGUUUUCCUGGGCGAUGCUGGCACUUUGAUCAGAACACUUGGUUGGUUGCAGCGAGGAAUGGAGUGAUAAAAAUUGCCCCACCAGUGUAUAUGAAUGUGAUCAUGACUUUCAGUCAAUGAAACUAGGAACACCCAUAGUGAAGUCACUUAAAAAAGUAAAUAAAAGAAAAAGAAAAAAAGAAACCCAGAAAUUAGUGCUCUUGGGGUAUGGGACCCCUGUGGAAGUGCAGGAAACCGAGGUACCCACAGCCCUUUUAGGGAACGUGAAAGCUGGUUUUCUCUUAGUGAAAUGCUUACAGCUUUGCUGAAAAACAGUUCGUCUUAAGAUGAGACUGUUGGCGUACUGAUCCAGGACUCGCAGAGACUUGAUAAACAAGGGGUUGAACAAACCUAACAGGCAAGUGCAAAAUUUUAAAGCAGCAGUUCUAGAAGCAACUCGGUCUUCAGCACCUCCUCUGAAGCCUCGACGGGACUUUACAUCUGCUCAUGGAGGGCCCCCUGUGAGUGGAUCGACUGUUCCGGGGGAACAGGAGGAUUGGGAGCUGUUUUCUGACUUGCAUCCUUGGAAAGUAACUGGGGAAGUAGUUCAGCAUGAACAGACUGAAACUAUGGUCCACCUCCGGUGCAAUGGGUAUGGAAGGCCCUUUGACGCCUUGUGGCGCUUAGAAUAAUUUGGAGAAACUGGUCCUCCUGAAUUCUAAAAUCCUUCAUUUCCACUGGAUUUGAGGUCUCUUCAAUGAAUGGAAACCCUAAGGCUUUUAAAGGACAGCCCCUAAUUAUUACCCUUUUGGGAGGGAAACAAGUUGUAGCUGUGCAAACACAACUGGAAAUGAAAAUAGGGAAUCUCUCUGGUUGUGUUCUGUUACGUACUCUGGGAUAAGAGCAAUCAAAAUUAGAAUAGAUGUUUUGGAAGGACUGGCCUUGAAUCUCUCUGAUAGCCAAUACCAAUAGGAUGUAAAGAAUUAGGUUAGUGCCCAAACAGUUUUAGUGAGAAGUAUCUUUUGAUUUCUUUAUGAAAGCCACCUGUAUCAAUUCUAGCUGUAACAAAAUAAGUGACCAUGAAAAAAUGUAGAGUGGAAUAGCUCAGAAAUAGGUGGCACUUCUCCCUUGGUUCCUCCUUGAACCCUGGCCAGGUUUUGGGAGAAAACCAACAGGAGACAGAGGAAACCAGAUGUUCCGCCUGACUGUUUCAUAGAUUGGUUUGUUUAGUGGUACAAAAGCUGGACCUGCUUGCAGUGACGAUGGAGACCUCGACUGCGGGGUGGACGCACUGCCGUAGGCCUUCCCAGUUGCCGGGACGGGUUCUCCAGAUCCUCGCUGCAACCAGGGCUCCCCAGCAGCUGCGGAUCUGGAUGGUGGUCAGAGUAGUAGAGGAGUGAUUGGUAGCUAAACUCAAAGUUACAGUACUGCUCAGGUUUGAAAAGACCCUUCAAGAUCAUCAAGUCCAACCACAACCUAACUAGAUUACCUUAACUCUUAACAACUAUGUUAGCUCUAUUUUUUUUUUUUUUGCAUCAUUUUGAUAUAGACAGUAAAGCUUAUCCCUUUAGUUGAUGUCUGUGUCUUUUCUGUUGUCCCUGUCAAUGGCAAAAUGAGUUCCUCUGUCCUGGUUCCUUCUUCAGUUCUGCUUUUUGAGAGCCCAGCUGUCAGGAAUUCUGAAAUACAUGAACUCAAUCAGUCAGGGCAAGAGGGCUCUAGAAUAAUUGGUAAGGUGUGCCAUCACCAGCUGCUUCACUUUACUCCCCUUGUCUGUAGCCUUUUUUCACCUGUCCUGCUUUUUUCAGUAUUUCAUGUAAUGACACUGGGGGCCAGCUGGUUAAUGCUGGUGCACAGUGUCCAGGAGCUGCCUAUCUUAGUUGUUGAGCUUCUAGCAGUCUUAGCUAUUCUCAUGUGAGUUCCAGCUCUCUGAGAGGCAGGUAUUCUCUAUCUCUUUACUGUGCUGUUUCCUCAACUGUCUACUAUUUCCUAUGUGAUUUCUGAUUCUAGGUGAUGGAAGAGAGCUUUCUGCUCUUUGUCGAAGCCAGACGUGAGUGCCUGCCGCUAAGGACUCAGACUUGUUCUUUCUUCUCCCAUUUUUGAUUAGUUAGGUUUUCUGUUGCUAAUUAUUCUGUAUUAUCUUUAAUAAAUUAUCUCUUCUACUUACA
ensembl:lncRNA